CCUACUUUUGGGCAGUUUUCUCGCCCUCGCCUUGGAUCUCAUCGUGUCGGCUUGUGGAUUCCUCUCCUCCUCCUUGAGCCCAGAAGCAGCUACACACUAUCUUCAUCUCCCAAGCAUUGUCAGUUUGGACACCUUCGCACAUGCGCACAGAGCAUUCAAUCUGACACCCUCACCACGGCCAAAAAAACUUUCCAAUGUAUUCAUCAUCAUCAGUUCUUUUUUUUUUUUUGUCCUAUCCUCUUCUUCAGACCACUUAUCUCUCCCCCCUCCUCUCUCCCAGCACCAUCAUAGCCUUCCCCUGAUCUGCCCCUUUAAGAAAAAUCAGCCCUCUCUGCUCCUAACCCUCUGCACACUGACCUUACACACUGGACAAUAUUUAAGGAUCAAGGUGCCAUCCUAUAAAGAGGAUUUUCCGCACAGAGUGCUUGUUUCUGCUCAGCGUUGCAGGAAGAUUAGACCAAGAAUUAAUAUUUGACCUACGCAAUCUCCCCGCGGCAUACGGAGGGACUGCUCCCCGCUAGGGUCAGAGAGCCCCGCACAGAUUAGGCGAUGAAAGCACUGGUUCCUCUGGCCGUGAAAAUACAGCGUGUAAAUUGCCAUUUGAGAUUUUUCAAAAAAACAUGUUCAGCUAUAAGAAUUCCUCCAAAUUCGUUACACUCCACUGUGCAAGGCUACGCUUUGCUGGUCCGUGGUAAGGUAAAAAUGCAUGUCCUAAAAUAAGAGGUCGUAAAAGAAAAACAUUCACAUUUUAAUAUAUACCUUGACCGGUAUUAUAAUUUUAACUGUAAAAAAUAGCACAUUGUCUUUAAAACGCCGGACUAUAACCCAAAGUAAUUUUCGGAGGAUACAAGGAGAGCAAUUUUAAUCAUGAUGAUCUCUUAGAAUAAAAACUAAUUAGA